rnacentral:rRNA from 2 species
UUUUAUGGAGAGUUUGAUCCUGGCUCAGGAUGAACGCUGGCGGCGUGCCUAAUACAUGCAAGUCGAGCGAACGGACGAGAAGCUUGCUUCUCUGAUGUUAGCGGCGGACGGGUGAGUAACACGUGGAUAACCUACCUAUAAGACUGGGAUAACUUCGGGAAACCGGAGCUAAUACCGGAUAAUAUUUUGAACCGCAUGGUUCAAAAGUGAAAGACGGUCUUGCUGUCACUUAUAGAUGGAUCCGCGCUGCAUUAGCUAGUUGGUAAGGUAACGGCUUACCAAGGCAACGAUGCAUAGCCGACC